AAUCUAAUAUAUAAUGUUGAGUAGGUAUCUUCUGCAGACCUAUCAGAUGCCAUUUCUGUGACCUGACUUGGCACUAGACCUGAGAAGAGAUCAGUGCCUGGGAAAUUGAAGAAAAUGGGAAGAUAUCUCAGAGAUAUCUCUUUGACCUCCAUCAUCUGACCCUUUCUACUUGUGGCAGCUCACACUUCCUGAAUAUUUGAAAUAGAUAAUGGUGAUUAGGACAUAAUUAAAGCCUAUUGAAACUUAGUUUUCUUUCUUCCAAGAGGCUCUCAGCCAAUCAUGAUGAAAACCUACUAGUCUUCAGAGAGACCUAAAGAUGUACAUCUGAAUCCUACACUCCUGGAAUUCCCUUCAUGGCCCAGUGGAAAUAAAUCUGACUCGUAUCCACUAGGUCACGGGUUCCAUCCCUGGCCUCACUCAGUGGAUUAAGGAUUGGGCAUUGCCAUGAGCUGUGGUGUAGGCUGCAGACUCAGCUCAGAUCCCACAUAGCCCUGGCUGUGGUGUAGGCCGGCAAUUGAGGCUUGGGCUGGCAGCUGAGGCUCUGAUUCAUCCUCUAGCCUGGAAACUUCCAUAUGCCACAGGUGCACCCGUAAAAAAACUAACUAACUAAACAACUCCUACACUCCUGUUAAACAUGUAGGCAAGAUCCUCUUUCCACACUUUUGGGUUCUGCCCAUCAUUUUAAGUCUUCAUUUGUCCUGAAGUUAGAAGUUGUAUUUUAAAAACACACCUCACGUUUAUGUUUUACAGAUAGUGAGGCAAUUGAUCCCUACAGUGUCCUGUGUAUUUUUAAUGCAGAUGCUUAAUUGCUCUCACCUUUUGUUUCCUUACCCGUGAGUUGGGGGCCUUGACAGUCUCCAUGGGGACAUGCUUUGUAAAGGGUUAGGCAAGCAUUUAGUGAAUGCUGUUAAAGCUGAUUUCACAGCUGGAUCCCAGAGAUGGUGCCUGAAAGUUGCACUGUUUUCCUACAUAAAAUCAAUUGAUUACUUCACACGUUUCUCAGCUUGCAAUUAUUAGAAUUCCUCUGUAGUGCAAGAUGUUGUCCUGCUUAGAAGAAAGAAACAGAAAACAUUUCUAAGAGGAAAACGCAUCCUAAAAGUGAUGAGCUGACCACAUAGAAACCCAGAAAAGCUCACAAGAAAUAAUGCAUUUCUCAUCGAUUUGGCUCUUAUAAAAUAAAUUUUGUCUGAAGGAGAGGAAAUGGUUCCAUUUCAUGCUGCUGGUGUUGACGAACAAGGUUUUCUUUCAAGGUGAAUGUGAAAUUCUCUUCUCUAAAUUUUAUUUUAUUUCGUUGUUGUCAUUUUUUUCAAGUGUUACUGAAGUAUAGUUGAUUUACAAUGCUGUGAUGAUUUCUGCUGUACAACAAGAAGUGAUUCAGUUAUACAGAUACACACAUCCAUUCUCUUUCAGAUUCUUUUCCCACAUAGAUUAACACAGAAUAUUGGAUAGAGUUCUCUGUGCUCUACAACAGGCCCCUGAAAAUUUUAUUUUAAUGAUCAACCUUAGGAGUUAUCCAUGGCGUGUAAAACAACAAUUAGGUCCAACUCGAUGAACAUAGUUUAUCAAAUGGCAGUUAUAAUCAUACAGUCGUUAUGCAGGUUAAACAGGAUAGCAUAUUUUAAAACGCCUAAUGAAGUAAGCGACCGAGAAGUCCUUGUUUCUUAGGACUAGUACUGCACGGAGGGUGCUGCCGCCUCUGUUUUGGGAAGAAAAGGGUACAAGGAUAUCAGCUGCAGUGGUAGAGGCUGUGCUUCCUCUGCGGUGAUGCACUGAAGGGGGACCCUGGUUUUACACUGUUAUUCAGGAAGCUGUUUUUACCUUUGCAGUGUCAUUCUAGCUCUCCUGUCCUGUUUCCCUCAAGCCAUUAUAUUUCUGAGACGUGACCUCUCUUGCUUUGGACCAGUCCCCUGCACCCAUCUUUUCAACAGGCAAGUCCCUGUGUGAGACACAAAGUGAAUAUACCUCAUCCUUCCCACCCCCUCAUUCUCUGGACCAAAGAAGACUUGUGUUUCCCACGUCACAGCCUGAUGGCUCCCCUUCAGUGUCUGCUUUUCCUCAGAAUUGUCCUAACACUGUGCCUGGCAGCCUGGGGCCUUGUGACAAGUGGCACUGGUCUCUUGCAUGGCAGGGUGAUGGUUGGUGGUGGGGCAUCUCCCCAGAGAAAUGGCAUGGUGCCGCUUUCCCCCAGAGCACACACCUGACUGUUCUGGAAAAGCAAGGAAGGACCGUGGCUUCCCCAAGUGUUUUCUGCCCAGCUUUGUCUAAUGCCGUCUCUUCCUACAGUAACCCCGGGGACCCUUUUCAUCCCAGAGUUUUAUUCCGAAUGGAAUGUUAAGAGGGUUCAGAUGCUGAGAGACAGGUCAGGGCGCUGGGGGUGGGGAGAGAGGUGUGAUCUUGUCCAGAUCUGUGGCUUUGUCAGAACUGUUUUUAAGUUGACACAGGGCUAAAUAAAAAGCCCCCUGGCUUUGAUCUCAGGGACUUCCUGGGUAGACUGUCUGAUUAGAUAAAGAUCACAUAUCCACCCCCUCCCCCCACCCCCAUCAUCCUUUAGACAGUAAUCUAAGCUCUGCAGCCAUUCCUCGUCCUGUGCUCCUGUCUCUUUCUCAAAGUAUCUCUCUGUCUCAGUGGGUCCCUUUCUGGGGCUUGGGUUUUUGUUUGAGCGGGAAAAGGAGCCUAAGAAAACAGAAUACUUCUUCUUUAAUUCAUCUUAAGUUGUUUAGAAACAAAGCAAAAGCUUUUUGUGAGAACCUCAUAUGGACCUCGUCUGGUCCUGGGCAUCAAAGGGGAUUUGGUCUCUGUUUGCAACAUGGUCAGCUGCUGGGAUGUUAUGAAGCAAAUGAGUUGGCAGGUGGAAGGUUUGGAGAGCUCCCUGCGCUGGGUUCAUCAGCCAAGACAAGAGGGUGUGAAGUGUGUGCAGAAGAGUCUUUUCUCUGGGACUCUUUAACCUAGGGCCGGUCGCCCAGGACAUACACCACAAACCAUCACUGAUGAUGAUGAUGAGGUGACUUGCUCUUGGGGGUGGGGGCAAUUUUCAGAAAUGCUUGAACUUAAAGAGCUGAUGCGGGUUUGAUUCCUGGCCUUUCUCAGUGGGCUAAGGAUCUGGCGUUGCCACAAGCUGUGGUGUAAGUCAUAGAUGCUGCUUGGAUCAGUGUUGCUGUGGCUGUGGUGUAGACUGGCAGCUGCAGCUCUGAUUUGACCC
rnacentral:lncRNA from 1 species